AAGUGAAACUUCUUUAGAAUCGUUGUGAUUUCAAACCGGAUGCAACGAAAAAACGACAGGUAAGAGACACAAAUACAAAAAUGUGUAGGAUGAAGCCAGGGGAAAGAAUGAGACAGAAAUAUACAUACAAUUUGUAUAUUAUCGGUCUCUCCUCUUUGUGCCAUACUUCGUAGCGUCCCCACUCCCGUCUUCUAAGCAUAGUCGCCUGUAAUUUGUGAGCCAGAGCGAGAGAGCAGAUGUCAGUGUGUAUGUAUAUUGCACACUGUUUAAUACGUGCUUGUAUUUGAGCAUUUAACGUGUGUAGUGCAUGUGAAAACUACGUGAGCUUACUGUACACUGUAUGCGGCUGCGUAUUACAGCGUUUUAGUAAGAUAGCGUGGUGUGUUAUUAUUUAACUGUUUGUGAGUAUUUUUAUAUCUUGUACUAAAUAAUAAAUUUUAUAAAAUGCCGAAAACUAAUGCCGAAAUGUGUCGUCAAUAUCGACGCAAAAAUGAAAUUAAAAUGAAAAAAAUUCAGCAAAAGUUCAACAGAACGUAGUCGCGAGUUUCGUGCACGUAAAAAACAAUUAUUGAACAAUCAAAAUAGAUGUUCAGAUAUAAGUGUCAAUGUGACUGAUGUAAUAAAUGACCGAAGAGCGUCAGUAUCUACAAUUGAUCUACAACAUGAAUUUCGAAGGCUGAACUUGAAUCGACUUGAGACAAUUACAAAUGUUUUAUAUGAUUUCUUAAAUAAAAGAAAAGGGAUGUCACUGUUUACCUUUAACUGUCAAAGCUUACGAGCUCAUGUACAAGAUCUGCAACAUGACAAUAUAGUGUCAUCGUCAAAUUUUUAAUUCUUUCGGAGACAUGGAUGAAUAAUGAAGAUAUUGUAGACAUUCCAAAUUUUAAUAUUGUUGUUAAUUACAAAAGACCACGUACGAGGGCAGGCGGAGUAGCAAUUUAUCACAACGUAAAUGAUGGAGCCCGUGUUGUUACGCCACAAAUGGAUCUCAAUGCACAACAGCUAGAAUCAUUGUCUGUUCAGCUUUCGAAAGUUGGAGAAAUAUGUGCCUGUGAGAGCAGAAAUGACCAAGGAGAUUUAAUUUUGAUCGUAGCAAUUUACAUCUUUCCCAACCAAUCAAUAAAAUCAGUUAUUGAAUUUAUACAUGAAAAUUUGAUCAAAUAUACCCCAAAGGUAUCGCGAAUUCUCAAAAAGAAUUAUGAUAAAAUUCCGAUGAUUUUAAGUGGGGAUUUUAACAUAAAUUUUGCAUCAGAUACAGCGCUUCCUUUGAUUGAGUUUCUCGAUACAACAUUUUAUUUAAAAAUGUGUAACAAUCGCACUCAAUCAACUACAAGAUCAAAAACGGUAAUAGAUGCAGUGUUCCAAAGAUAUAUCAACCAAAUUGAAACUAAAAUAUUUGUAUCGUAUUUUAGUUAUCAUAAGCCUCUUGUAUCAUUUGUUGAAACUGAAAAUAUGGAACUUGAGUAAUAGAUUAUGUAACAUAUGUUAAAUAAAAUAUAAAAUAUCUUUUAAAAUUAA
rnacentral:lncRNA from 1 species